CGCGGUAAUACGUAGGGUCCGAGCGUUGUCCGGAAUUAUUGGGCGUAAAGAGCUCGUAGGCGGCGUGUCACGUCUGCUGUGAAAGACCGGGGCUUAACUCCGGUUCUGCAGUGGAUACGGGCAUGCUAGAGGUAGGUAGGGGAGACUGGAAUUCCUGGUGUAGCGGUGAAAUGCGCAGAUAUCAGGAGGAACACCGGUGGCGAAGGCGGGUCUCUGGGCCUUACCUGACGCUGAGGAGCGAAAGCAUGGGGAGCGAACAGGAUUAGAUACCCUGGUAGUCCAUGCCGUAAACGUUGGGCGCUAGGUGUGGGGACUUUCCACGGUUUCCGCGCCGUAGCUAACGCAUUAAGCGCCCCGCCUGGGGAGUACGGCCGCAAGGCUAAAACUCAAAGGAAUUGACGGGGGCCCGCACAAGCGGCGGAGCAUGUUGCUUAAUUCGACGCAACGCGAAGAACCUUACCAAGGUUUGACAUCACCCGUGGACUCGCAGAGAUGUGAGGUCAUUUAGUUGGCGGGUGACAGGUGGUGCAUGGCUGUCGUCAGCUCGUGUCGUGAGAUGUUGGGUUAAGUCCCGCAACGAGCGCAACCCUUGUUCCAUGUUGCCAGCACGUAAUGGUGGGGACUCAUGGGAGACUGCCGGGGUCAACUCGGAGGAAGGUGGGGAUGACGUCAAGUCAUCAUGCCCCUUAUGUCUUGGGCUGCAAACAUGCUACAAUGGCCGGUACAAUGGGCGUGCGAUACCGUAAGGUGGAGCGAAUCCCUAAAAGCCGGUCUCAGUUCGGAUUGGGGUCUGCAACUCGACCCCAUGAAGGUGGAGUCGCUAGUAAUCGCGGAUCAGCAACGCCGCGGUGAAUACGUUCCCGGGCCUUGUACACACCGCCCGUCACGUCAUGAAAGUCGGCAACACCCGAAACUUGCGGCCUAACCCCUUGUGGGAGGGAGUGAGUGAAGGUGGGGCUGGCGAUUGGGACGAAGUCGUAAUCAAGUUGUCAUCUAGGGGG
rnacentral:rRNA from 1 species